UCAGAUUCACACUAGCUCCAGAAUCUAUUAGUACCUUCUUGAAGGUUCUUUCUUUGAUUGUGCAUGGUACUAUGACAGUUCCUGGAUCCUUUUGUUUGUUAGGAAUGUUCUGGUCCAGGGAGUUUGCAUUAUAUUGUUCCUCACCGGAUACCUGUUCUUCAGUGGUUGGUUUCUUUUCAGCCAUUAACUUUUCCACGAAUUUCUUGUACAU
rnacentral:lncRNA from 1 species